CCUACGGGAGGCAGCAGUGGGGAAUAUUGGACAAUGGGGGGAACCCUGAUCCAGCCAUGCCGCGUGUGUGAAGAAGGCCCUCGGGUUGUAAAGCACUUUCAGUGAGGAAGAACGCCUGGUGGUUAAUACCCAUCAGGAAAGACAUCACUCACAGAAGAAGCACCGGCUAACUCCGUGCCAGCAGCCGCGGUAAUACGGAGGGUGCGAGCGUUAAUCGGAAUUACUGGGCGUAAAGCGCGCGUAGGUGGCUUGAUAAGCCGGUUGUGAAAGCCCCGGGCUCAACCUGGGAACGGCAUCCGGAACUGUCAAGCUAGAGUGCAGGAGAGGAAGGUAGAAUUCCCGGUGUAGCGGUGAAAUGCGUAGAGAUCGGGAGGAAUACCAGUGGCGAAGGCGGCCUUCUGGACUGACACUGACACUGAGGUGCGAAAGCGUGGGUAGCAAACAGGAUUAGAUACUCGAGUAGUC
rnacentral:rRNA from 1 species